AACGAACGCUGGCGGCAGGCCUAACACAUGCAAGUCGAGCGAGGACUUCGGUCCUAGCGGCGGACGGGUGAGUAACGCGUGGGAACGUGCCCUUUGCUUCGGAAUAGCCCUGGGAAACUGGGAGUAAUACCGGAUGAGCCCUUUGGGGGAAAGAUUUAUCGGCGAAGGAUCGGCCCGCGUUGGAUUAGGUAGUUGGUUGGGUAAUGGCCUACCAAGCCGACGAUCCAUAGCUGGUUUGAGAGGAUGAUCAGCCACACUGGGACUGAGACACGGCCCAGACUACUACGGGAGGCAGCAGUGGGGAAUCUAAGAAAAUGGGGGAAACCAUGAUCGAGCCAUGCCGCGUGAGCGAUGAAGGCCUUAGGGUAGUAAAGCUCUUUCAGCUGGGAAGAUAAUGACGGUACCAGCAGAAGAAGCCCCGGCUAACUCCGUG
rnacentral:rRNA from 1 species